rnacentral:lncRNA from 1 species
GCUUUUUCUACAUGAAUUAAUAUGGACUUUGUUGACCGAAAAUGGUGAAUAGCCCACCAUACUAUUUAAAACAUGUGGGAUAAAUUAAUUCAAUUACCCAAGUUAUUUGAUUUUCUGGAAAUUAGUUACCAACAAUGGUGAAUAAGCCAAAAACUGAGAUUAAUUGAAUUAAUUUGACUCGUAAGGUAUAUUAAGAGUUAACCACCACCGUUGGUGACUAACUGAAAACCAAAUUGAUAAUCUUGAAACUAGAAAGAUAAAAGCAGACUUACUUUAGUCAAAAGUACACGGUUAUUUGCUUCCAAAACCAGCAUGGACUAUCACUGUUGGUAGACACCUGGCAGGUUUAUUGUCAUUAUUUUAACCAAUAGUGAAGAAAAUCUUCAUCCAAAGCACCAGUUUUGGUGAUUGACACUUUUCAUGGAUACCUUGGAAGGAACACCUUGGCAUCAUUCUUUAAAAAAAAAAAAAAUCAUUAUUAUCAUGAAGGCUCUUAUUUUUAGCCUUAGACACAUCCACGGGUGCCUUGGAAACUUUUUGGCAACCCCUCAUUUAAAAAGAAAAAUCUUCAUUCGUGUCCCGGGUUCGAUCUUAGAAACUUUCUAUGGAUAGCUUGGAACACCUUGCAUUCGUCCUCAAAAAAUCAUAAUUCUCA